UUCGGGAAACCGGAGCUAAUACCGAUAAUAUAUUGAACCGCAUGGUUCAAUGGUGAAAGACGGUUUUGCUGUCACUUAUAGAUGGAUCCGCGCCGCAUUAGCUAGUUGGUAAGGUAACGGCCUACCAAGGCAACGAUGCGUAGCCGACCUGAGAGGGUGAUCGGCCACACUGGAACUGAGACACGGUCCAGACUCCUACGGGAGGCAGCAGCG
rnacentral:rRNA from 1 species